UACCAAACAUAACCCUGGUAGAUCUUACCGCGUUUCAUCUCCAUUUUCAAAAUCAGUUCACCCUAGUAAGCAUAUACUUUCACCAGUCACAGGCUAAAACUCAAGAACUUUGAAACAAAAGGAAAGACAGGAAGAGAGGAGUGAGAGUGAAAGAAGAAGCAAUGGCGACGCGUACGAUCUCGCAGGAAGCUUUCGAAGAACUUGUGAAAGAAAACGUCGACGACCUCGGCAUGGACCCCACCGAGGCCCUCCAAGACGCCAUCCAGACCCUCACUCUUCAAGGCGUCGAUCUCUCAGGCAUCGUCACCUCCGUCCCCGGCGACACCAACCCCGUCAUCGACUGCUUGGACCGCUUGAAGCACCUCCAAUCCGAACCCGACGAUCACGAAAGUCGCCAUAGCGGUCAACACGCUCCAUGAAUUGUGUUCGAAUCCAAAUCCAAAUGCAAAUUCUAAUUCGGCAAUUGCGACCAGAAACAGUGCCGUCGAGUUAACUUGUUCGCUCUGUUCCAAAAUCCCCCGCGCCACUGGAUCUCGCGAGCUCCUUCUCUCUGCUUUAAACGCAUUGUCGUCGUUGCUUCACGAUGUUCAGAGUACGGGCACGUUUCAGCGGUGUGACGGACCGACGAUUGUGAUUGGUUUUCUGGCUGAUAAUAAGCAGGAUGUGGAGGUCUUGAGCAGUGGAUUUCGCGUCGUGGCUUCUGCGGCGACCGGCGAUGAGAUCGUGAAGGAGUCCUUUAUGGAGUUGAAGGUUGAUGAGCUGGUUUUGGAGAUCUUGUCGUUGCAUAAGAACAGGGGGAUCCAGAGUUUGUAUGACGCAGUUCGCGCGCUUUUGACUCCGGAUGACAAUCGAAUCGUGGCUUCGCAGGUGAGUUCGGCUGCUUGAUGAUAUGUUAGAUUAUGUUUCGUUUACCGUUUGGUCACUUCCAAGUUACGUUUUGUCCCGAAAACUCAGUUUGGUUGUAUGU